AUUCGGUGGAAACAAACUACAAGCUUUCUGUUGUCUUUGGUACACCCAAUACUGAUACAUUCUCCCACAAACACAAGAGCUUAUUGUAAAUGUCGGGUAGUAUUCGGUUGAAACACACUACAAGCCUUCUGUUGUCUUUGGUACACAUCAUAUGGAUAAAUUCUCCCA